GUGUUCAUCUCAGCACACACGUGCCAGAGUUAGAAAGACACAGAGGAGACGAGCAUGGCCCCGGAGCAAGGAUGACCCCACACUGGUGACGCAUUCCAUAUUUUU
ensembl:snRNA U6 U6 spliceosomal RNA